UGAGGAAUAUUGGUCAAUGGGCGAGAGCCUGAACCAGCCAAGUAGCGUGAAGGAUGAAGGCUCUAUGGGUCGUAAACUUCUUUUAUUAGGGAAUAAAGUGGAGAACGUGUUCUCCUUUGUAUGUACCUUUUGAAUAAGGAUCGGCUAACUCCGUGCCAGCAGCCGCGGUAAUACGGAGGAUGCGAGCGUUAUCCGGAUUUAUUGGGCGUAAAGGGAGCGCAGGUGGAUCGUAAAGUCUUGUUUAAAAGAGCGGGGCUCAACCCCGUUAGGGACAAGAAACUUAAGAUCUUGAGUGCAGGAGAGGGAAGCGGAAUUCCUAGUGUAGCGGUGAAAUGCGUAGAUAUUAGGAGGAACACCAGUGGCGAAGGCGGCUUACUGGACUGUAACUGACGCUGAGGCUCGAAAGCGUGGGGAGCAAACA
rnacentral:rRNA from 1 species